GUCCGGGAAGCAGGGAGGGAGGAGGCAGAGGAAGGGCGCUGGGCGCCGAAUUCACCAGCACAGGAAAAUGACCCUCUAGAACAUUCCAAGGCAUAGGCAGGGAUCGCGGAGCGAGCCCAGCCCGAUCCCACUCAGGCGGGUAAGUGGGACCUGUCGCACGGACCUGGCCAGCGGUGCUCAAGACUAAGUUCGGUGACCGAUCCCUGGAGCGAUUUUCAUAGGGCGUGUCUGGGGCAUGCGCCCGCAGCGCCACCCUCGUAUCUGCCAAAGGGGCCCGGGUCACUUUGGCUCUAACUCCUGGAGUGCCCCAGGCUGCCAAGUCCCCAUCUGGGGCUGAGAAGCUGAGUGUGGGCUAGGCUCCAGGAUGACUGGGUUUCCCUCAGACACCCUCUUUCCUCCCACCUGCUUUUGGCCCACCUCCUCCUGGAGGAGGGUGUGAGCCUGGCGGGUGGCUGCCAGAGUCCUGCUGUGACUGGAAAGAUGGCCCAAGCCAGUCAGCGUUUUCCAUGCUGGUCCUGAGCUGAUUGUCAACCCAGCUUGGAUCUACUGUGACUCAAGGCCCAAGCAAGGGGCACUGGAGAGUUUGGGAGGGAGUUGGGUGACCUGGACCCAGAGCCUCCUAGGCCCCUGGACUCCUGUGGAACUGUCUGUGAGAUGGGGAAGGUAACCGGUAUCUUAUCACUCACUGUGAGGACUGAGGAAGACCAGAGCUGUGUUCCGGAGUUACCAACACUUUCGGCUCCCCAUCAGCCCCAGGAAAGUGAUCUGGUCAGAGAGAUGUCAAAGCUUAGAGCUCCACAAAGGCCGUGGCUGAGGCUCAUGGGAAUCUGGAGGCCCCCCGUACUGUAGGACUCUCGUUCCUGGGGAAAACGAAAGCUCUGCCACCUCUGAUACUUCUUCUCCUUGCAAGAAACACAAAGCCAUGACCUCAGCAAGGUCUUUCUGUGAGUCAGGGAUAGGAGCUGAAAUUAGGACACAGGCAUUGCGGGUCCACAGCUAUUCCGUUCACCCACCCUGGCUGGGACAAAGUGCAGGUGAAGAAACUGGGGCCCAUGAGGCCAAGGCUGCCCAGCUUGUCAUGCUCUUCUAAUAAAGGCAUCCAGAUCCCAUUCAUUGGCGUUGUUUGAGCACCUGCCAGGAUGCAGCCACUCCCUCAGGCACUGGGUACACUGCCGUGGACAGAUGAAGAAGACAAAGCCGUGGACAGAUAAAGAAGACAAAGCCAGCAAUGUCACUGAGCACUUGUGACAUUAUUAAGGAAGAAAGGGUUCGGACCUCUUACUUCUCUGGCGUCCUACAUCUUGGCUGACUGUGCCUCUCCUUCCCAGACUCCUCCUUGACUCCUAGUCUCACCCAUCUUGCUUCCCUAUUGGCCAACAGUGCUUUAUUUAAUC